GUGCCAGCCGCCGCGGUAAUACGGAGGGGGCAAGCGGUCUCGGAAUUACUGGGCGUAAAGCGCACGUAGGCGUUUUUGUAACUAGGGGGUAAAAGCCGGCAGUUCAACUGUAAAAACGCUUUAGAUUCUAUAGAUCGGGAGCGCCGGAGAGGGAGGCGGAAUCCCCGGUGUAGCUAAGAAAUGUGUAGAUAUCGGGAGGAACCCCAUGGGAGAAGGCGGCCAUCUGGUUGGUAACUGACUCUGAGGUGCAAGAGCGUGGGGAGCACAUGGGAUUAUAUCCCCGGUUAUUCUACCCUGUAAACUAUGGAUGU
rnacentral:rRNA from 1 species